rnacentral:lncRNA from 1 species
GAAUCCAUCCUCCUCUCUCCAUCUCUCUCACCAGCUCCAGCCCUGUCUCACCUGGGCGGGCGCAAUGGCCCCCCUGCCGGCUGGCCUGUAUUCACUCUAAUCUCUUCAGUCGGCUUGCAGCCAGCACGAUCUUCUAAAAUCAAAACAAAGUCUGAUCACGUACCUUGGGUUGUCUAAUCCCUGAGAACUGGAGGCAAAAGUGGAAUUGAGGGCUGAGGGUUAAAGAAGCUCAAGGAAGCUCAUGGUGAAGCCCCGAUUUGAAAUGGGACUUUGAAGAGGAAGCUCUAGGCCAGCAUGGCUCACAAGGAAGCUGGGUGGCGUUUCUCCUCCUCUCCCACCAUUGUGAAGGAUCUUCUUGCUGCUAGAGUGC